UACGAAGGGUGCAAGCGUUAAUCGGAAUUACUGGGCGUAAAGCGCGCGUAGGUGGUUUGUUAAGUUGGAAGUGAAAGCCCCGGGCUCAACCUGGGAACUGCUUUCAAAACUGGCAGGCUAGAGUAUGGCAGAGGGUGGUGGAAUUUCCUGUGUAGCGGUGAAAUGCGUAGAUAUAGGAAGGAACACCAGUGGCGAAGGCGACCACCUGGGCUAAUACUGACACUGAGGUGCGAAAGCGUGGGGAGCAAACAGG
rnacentral:rRNA from 1 species